rnacentral:rRNA from 1 species
GACGAACGCUGGCGGCGUGCUUAACACAUGCAAGUCGAACGGAAAGGCCCUGCUUUUGUGGGGUGCUCGAGUGGCGAACGGGUGAGUAACACGUGAGUAACCUGCCCUUGACUUUGGGAUAACUUCAGGAAACUGGGGCUAAUACCGGAUAGGAGCUCCUGCUGCAUGGUGGGGGUUGGAAAGUUUCGGCGGUUGGGGAUGGACUCGCGGCUUAUCAGCUUGUUGGUGGGGUAGUGGCUUACCAAGGCUUUGACGGGUAGCCGGCCUGAGAGGGUGACCGGCCACAUUGGGACUGAGAUACGGCCCAGACUCCUACGGGAGGCAGCAGUGGGGAUAUUGCACAAUGGGCGGAAGCCUGAUGCAGCAACGCCGCGUGCGGGAUGACGGCCUUCGGGUUGUAAACCGCUUUCGCCUGUGACGAAGCGUGAGUGACGGUAAUGGGUAAAGAAGCACCGGCUAACUACGUG